UGCAAAACAAAUUUUCAAAACUUAAAAUAUUUACAAACAAAUAAUCGAAGAAAAUUUAUGUUUAAACGUUUUUUCUUCGUGCAGAGGGCAUGGACGAGUGUGACACGAUAGCCAACGUUUUCCAGUGUGGCCAGGAAAAGGCGCCAAACCUAGUGGCGAACGUGAUCACGGCAAUAGAAUUCAACAGCACAGCAGAAAAAUCGCCUCUGCAACCAAUUCUGGGCGAAUGCGUUGAUCAUAAAUGCAUAAUUCACCCUCGCUGGAGCGACGAGUAUUUGAACAAAAACACUGCGUUUGGAACUGUUCUGACUAUUUGUAACAAGCGCUAUUUGCUGGCGGGUUCGGAACGCUUUUCAUUCGACGGUGCCGGAUCUUGGUGUUGCACUUACGGGGUUAAAAUAGUUUCGAUCGAGACACUGGCGGAACUGCAGUGCAUUGUGGACUCACCCCUCGGCAGGUUUUCAAAAUUAAACCGAUGAACGGUCUAAAAUAUUUUUUCAGGAGGAUUAACUAGACCUGCCGAUAUAUGGACGUCGGCCUCGAGGAAAGGAACGGUCACCGGCUUCCGAUGGUGCACGUCCAGAGAGCCGCUGAAUUUCUCAAUGUGGAAGUGGCACCCGGACAUUGAGAAAAACCCAGAAAAGGAAAUAAUGACGCUGAAUAUCCAAAACACAUUGCAAGAUUCUUAUUUUUUUGCAAGCUCUGCUGACACUGAUGAAGCAUUUACUCUUUGCGAACUGUAAAUUUAGUAAUUUUGGUAUACGCACUAAUUUGAAACUGCUCAUUUUGGUUGUGCUGGCAAAAUAAAAUUGGGGAAAUAAAAAAACGUUCCAUUUUCUCCACGACCGACAGUAUAGAAUUAUUUUUAGGGACUUAGGGAUUC